rnacentral:lncRNA from 1 species
GGGCGAGGCCGGGUGUCUGUUCAACUCUCCCGCGUAUCGUCUGUUUCUUCGGCGGCGGACAGUGUUCUGUAAUGUGUCUCCCGUUGCCCGAGCUAAAGGUUUUCCUCGACGGAGUCUUUAGAAUACCGUGGUAGAGUCUCCACACCACUGUGCUCGAACAGCUCUAUGAAGAGGCCUAUGUGGAGAGGAGAAAAAGCCUCC